UACGGAGGGUGCGAGCGUUAAUCGGAAUUACUGGGCGUAAAGCGUACGCAGGCGGUUUGUUAAGCGAGAUGUGAAAGCCCCGGGCUCAACCUGGGAACUGCAUUUCGAACUGGCAAACUAGAGUGCUGUAGAGGGGGGGUAGAAUUUCAGGUGUAGCGGUGAAAUGCGUAGAGAUCUGAAGGAAUACCAGUGGCGAAGGC
rnacentral:rRNA from 1 species